rnacentral:rRNA from 1 species
GCAAUGAGACAUGCACGUCGCACGAGAGGUAUGGUAGCGUGCUCCCUGUGUUAGCGGCGGACGGAUGAGUAACACGUGGGUAACCUGCCUGUAAGACUGGGAUCUCCGGGAAACCGGGGCUAAUACCGGAUGCUUGUUUGAACCGCAUGGUUCAAACAAGGUGGCUUCGGCUACCACUUACGCAUGGACCCGCGGCGCAUUAGCUAGUGGUGAGGUAAUGGCUCACCAAGGCAACGAUGCGUAGCCGACCUGAAAGGGUGAUCGCCACACUGGGACUGACACACGGCCCAAACUCCUACGGGAGGCAGCAAUAUGGAAUUUCGCAAUGGACGAAAGUCUGACGGAGCAACGCCGCGUGAGUGAUGAAGGUUUUGGCCUAAACUCUGUUGUUAGGGAGAACAAGUACCGUUCGAAUAGGUCGGUACUUGAGUACUAACCAAGCCACGGCUAACUACGUGCCCCACCCGCGGUAAUAGUAGCGCAGCGUAUCCAGAAUUAUUGGCGUAAAGGGGUGGCGCGCCUUUCUAAUCUGAUUGAAAGCCCCGGCUCCGGCGAGGGCAUUGGAUACUGGGGACUUACUGCAAGAGGAGAGUGCACUUCCCGUGUAACCGUCAAAU